GGGAGAACAUCUGAUUCCUUCCUCAGCUCUCUAUACAUUGCAUUCUGCUGUUGAACGCUGAUUUGCAAGAUUCCUCCCUGGGCUGGCAGCUCCACUCAGAAAUGGUCUGUAUGGCCACCUGAGCGGCCCCUUGACGGCGGUGCACAGGGCGGCAGCGCCCCCUGCCGGCCGGCGGCUCUCUGCGUCUCAGCAGCCUGGGAGGGGCUCCACCACCCACACCGCCGAACAGACUCCAGACGGGCAUUAAACAUCUCUGUGAAUGGAAAGUGAGAUUAUUAUUAUUAUUUUUUUUUUAAAAAACGCUGCUGUUUUAUUUUUUUUUUCUUUAUACAAACUAAAACACCGGAGGUCAUUGAAUCCUAUAUUAAAUACAUAAAUUAAAAAAUAACCAUUCAUAAAACUUUACAUACAAUAAGGAUUCUCUUCUACGCAUUAAUACAUAUAAUACAGAUACGUGUCCAGUGUUUAUCAAAGGGUCAUUCCGCCAAGUCAUUAACACUUCUGUUGUGGAGUAAACACCAAAGAAAAAGAAAGGGAACAAAACUGUAUCCAAAAACAGGUACUGAUGUGAAAACAGGACAGGGAAAAACAAACAAGCAAUAAAACUUUCAGUCACCAGCAAUUGUAUGGCUGUUGGCUCUAAUGAGAAGAAUCCUGGCCUAUCCAGCCCUCAAUGGGGUGCCAGGAAAAUGAAAGCCUUGGAGGUUCAUAGGAUAUUUCCCACUGAGAUGACAGCAGGGAGUUGGAAAAUGGACUAUAUGUGCAAAAAAAUAGAAUCAAUAUGUCUCGAGGCAUGCAAACGAGAAUAGAGCUGUAAGCCAGGCUGCUAAUACUGCAAGCCCUAUGUCUUUCUUAAACCUAAUUGCCUAAAUUCAUCCCACCAAUCAGGUGGGAACGCUCCUGAUUUGGUGGAGAAAGGGGAGAAAAAGUGACCAGUUUGAUUUUUGUUCAGCUGACUUUCAUCACGUACGUGCCUCAUCCACUGCUGUGAUGUUCUGGAAGUUCUCGAGUGCUGUGGUCCUGCUCUAGUACAGACAGGAGGAAUCAGAGCUAUGUUUACAGUCCUUGUAGACUGAAAUAAAUUGCUGUGGGUUUGCUGGCUGAUUUGAGGGAGGGGCUACAGAGACUCAUUUGAGAGGACUCUCAGUACUUUGCCUCAGAGAACAUCAGGGAAAAACAGAAAAAGCCUCAGAGGAGAGCAUCAGGACAAAGAAUGGUGGGGGGAAAGAAAAAAAGAAAGAAAGAGAAGGGAAAUAAGAAAAAACAGUACCACAAAGUUACACAUAAGAUGUAAAACCAAACCACGGGUGUACCAGCUGCUGUAGCUAAACAAAUCUAGAUUGAAUUCCCCAUACCUAGAUUGGAAAUAUACUUUCAUAAGCUACAGCAAUGAUUUCCUAUAUACAAUAGGGACCAGAGAGAUAGAUGUGCAUACAUGCAAGUGUUUGGAUAUAGAUAUCAAUUAUAUAGAUAUAUCUAUGCAUUUACCUAUAUAAUGAUACAUAUAUAUAUAUAUAUAUCCAAACAUUUUGCAUCAAACUCAUUUUUUUCAGGCUGACUGGAGGAAGUUUGCAUUUUUACCAACAAGUGUGUUUUAGGCACGGCUCAUGUAAUGCUGCAAGGAGAAAAAUGCAGCUGGUGCUCAGAUCUCUGGAGGAAAUCCAGCAAUCUUUCCGAAGUUUGCAGCCAUUUACAUGUCACACCACAGUAACCUGGGGAUGCCACCUCCCAUCCCUCCCUAAGCCCCGGGAAACACAGCACCUGCAUGCAUAUGUAGUUAAAGAAAAAAGA